GUUGUAUGGUUAAGUGAYUAAGCGUAGACGGUGGAUGCCUUGGCAGUCAGAGGCGAUGAAGGACGUACUAACCUGCGAAAAGCGAUGGUGAGCUGGUAAGAAGCAUUUGAGCCAUCGAUGUCCGAAUGGGGAAACCCACCUGCAUAAGCAGGUAUCUUAGCGUGAAUCCAUAGCGCUAAGAGGCGAACUCGGGGAACUGAAACAUCUAAGUACCCGAAGGAAAAGAAAUCAAUUGAGAUUCCGGCAGUAGCGGCGAGCGACCCCGGAGCAGCCCUUAAGCGGCUUAGGCGUUAGGUGAACAGGUUGGAAAACCUGGCAAUAAAGGGUGAUAGCCCCGUAACCGACGGCGCCUUAGGCGUGAAAACGAGUAAGACGGGACACGUGAUAUCUUGUCUGAAGAUGGGGGGACCAUCCUCCAAGGCUAAAUACUCCUGACUGACCGAUAGUGAACCAGUACCGUGAGGGAAAGGCGAAAAGAACCCCUGUGAGGGGAGUGAAAUAGAACCUGAAACCGUCUACGUACAAGCAGUGGGAGCCUCUUUUAUGGGGUGACCGCGUACCUUUUGUAUAAUGGGUCAGCGACUUAAUGUAAGUAGCCAGGUUAACCGCAUAGGGGAGCCGUAGGGAAACCGAGUCUUAACUGGGCGACAGUUGCUUGCAUUAGACCCGAAACCGAGUGAUCUAGCCAUGGGCAGGUUGAAGGUUGAGUAACAUCAACUGGAGGACCGAACUCACUAACGUNAUGGGGUGACCGCGUACCUUUUGUAUAAUGGGUCAGCGACUUAAUGUAAGUAGCCAGGUUAACCGCAUAGGGGAGCCGUAGGGAAACCGAGUCUUAACUGGGCGACAGUUGCUUGCAUUAGACCCGAAACCGAGUGAUCUAGCCAUGGGCAGGUUGAAGGUUGAGUAACAUCAACUGGAGGACCGAACUCACUAACGUUGAAAAGUUAGGAGAUGACCUGUGGCUAGGGGUGAAAGGCCAAUCAAACUCGGAGAUAGCUGGUUCUCCCCGAAAGCUAUUUAGGUAGCGCCUCGGACGAACACUACUGGGGGUAGAGCACUGUUAAGGCUAGGGGGUCAUCCCGACUUACCAACCCUUUGCAAACUCCGAAUACCAGUAAGUGCUAUCCGGGAGACACACGGCGGGUGCUAACGUCCGUCGUGGAGAGGGAAACAACCCAGACCGCCAGCUAAGGUCCCCAAGYUAUCGCUAAGUGGGAAACGAUGUGGGAAGGCUCAGACAGCCAGGAUGUUGGCUUAGAAGCAGCCAUCAUUUAAAGAAAGCGUAAUAGCUCACUGGUCGAGUCGGCCUGCGCGGAAGAUGUAACGGGGCUAAGCGAUACACCGAAGCUGCGGCAAUG
rnacentral:rRNA from 1 species